UACGUAGGGGGGCUAGCGUUGUCCGGAAUCAUUGGGCGUAAAGCGCGUGUAGGCGGUCCGGUAAGUCCGCUGUGAAAGUCGGGGGCUCAACCCUCGGAUGCCGGUGGAUACUGUCGGGCUUGAGUACGGAAAAGGCGAGUGGAAUUCCUGGUGUAGCGGUGAAAUGCGCAGAUAUCAGGAGGAACACCAAUUGCGAAGGCAGCUCGCUGGGACGUUACUGACGCUGAGACGCGAAAGCGUGGGGAGCAAACAGG
rnacentral:rRNA from 1 species